CACGUAGGGGGCAAGCGUUGUCCGGAUUUAUUGGGCGUAAAGAGCUCGUAGGCGGCUCAGUAAGUCAGGUGUGAAACCUCCAGGCUCAACCUGGAGACGCCACCUGAUACUGCUGUGGCUAGAGUCCGGUAGGGGAGCGUGGAAUUCCUGGUGUAGCGGUGAAAUGCGCAGAUAUCAGGAAGAACACCCGUGGCUAAGGCGGUUCUCUAGUACGGUACUGACGCUGAGACGCGAAAGCGUGGGGAGCGAACAGG
rnacentral:rRNA from 1 species